UACGUAGGGAGCAAGCGUUGUCCGGAAUCAUUGGGCGUAAAGCGCGCGUAGGUGGCUUCAUAAGUCCGUUGUGAAAGUCAAAGGCUCAACCUUUGAAAGCCGAUGGAUACUGUGGAGCUAGAGUACGGAAGAGGCGAGUGGAAUUCCUGGUGUAGCGGUGGAAUGCGCAGAUAUCAGGGAGGAACACCAAUAGCGAAGGCAGCUCGCUGGGACGUACUGACACUGAGGCGCGGAAAGCGUGGGGAGCGAACAGG
rnacentral:rRNA from 1 species